rnacentral:lncRNA from 1 species
GGAGAACAUACUGCAAGAGGAAAUUCCCAUCUCGCCACCCUUUUCAUCAAGCCUAUUAAGCUAAUGAUUUUAUUUUAACAAUGGCUUUCCCCACAGCCAGUCUGUCUUGGGUAUAGACUGCCAGACAUGGUUACUAAACACCCAGAGACUCAAACAAUUAUAGAAAAUGCUAUUUUUAAGUUCUCUUGUAUAGUCUCCUGGGCAAUGAGCCUGCUCACAUCAGACUCACAGAUUCCAGUAACUUCUGUUCCCACCAGUGUGAGCCUUGACUUCUUUAGGUAUCCUGGAUGCUUCCAAGCACGACUUGUGGAUCCCAGUGGGGAGCUGUCCUUCACGAGGUAUUGGAUAUUUUGUCCCAGUAAUGAGGAAGGUGACUAAGACAGUGGUGCUGCACCAGCAAGUGGAAUCAAUAUGCCUACAGCCUGGGGUAGCACACAGAGUAAAUUCUGGGUUGGAA